UACAGAGGGUGCAAGCGUUGUUCGGAAUUAUUGGGCGUAAAGCGCGUGUAGGCGGCCAAGCAAGUCGGGUGUGAAAGCCCUCAGCUUAACUGAGGAAGUGCGCCCGAAACUACGUGGCUUGAGUACCGGAGAGGGUGGCGGAAUUCUCGGUGUAGAGGUGAAAUUCGUAGAUAUCGAGAGGAACACCGGUGGCGAAGGCGGCCAACUGGACGAAUACUGACGCUGAGACACGAAAGCGUGGGGAGCAAACAGG
rnacentral:rRNA from 1 species